rnacentral:rRNA from 1 species
GACGAACGCUGGCGGCGUGCCUAAUACAUGCAAGUCGAGCGGACGGAUGGGAGCUUGCUCCCAGACCGUCAGCGGCGGACGGGUGAGUAACACGUGGGCAACCUGCCUGUAAGACUGGGAUAACUCCGGGAAACCGGGGCUAAUACCGGAUAACUCUUUCCCUCACAUGAGGGAAAGCUGAAAGAUGGCAUCUCGCUAUCACUUACAGAUGGGCCCGCGGCGCAUUAGCUAGUUGGUGAGGUAACGGCUCACCAAGGCGACGAUGCGUAGCCGACCUGAGAGGGUGAUCGGCCACACUGGGACUGAGCCACGGCCCAGACUCCUACGGGAGGCAGCAGUAGGGAAUCUUCCGCAAUGGACGAAAGUCUGACGGAGCAACGCCGCGUGAGUGAUGAAGGUUUUCGGAUCGUAAAACUCUGUUGUCAGGGAAGAACAAGUACCGGAGUAACUGCCGGUACCUUGACGGUACCUGACCAGAAAGCCACGGCUAACUACGUG